ACUCGUACCGAUGUGCCAAGAAACGAUGGAAUCGGCGUUGGGGAGACCCGGCUCGUUUCUUCCACCUCUGGACCGGAUCCCUUGCGCCGCCGCCAACCUCCCUUCCCCCGCACGCUCCUGCUCGUCCUGUGCGCGCCGUCGUUGCUCGUCCCGCACACUCUUCCCGUGCCCCUCUCCCGAAUCCAUCACCGGCACACACCAAAUUUGUUACUGGCGGACACCAAAUCCCUCUCUCGCGCCUCAUCCAAAUCCCCUAAAAAAUCUGUAGCACAGUAGCCCUUCCUCAAUCGAUUUCCCACCUCAAUCUUCAUGAAUCAAAAUCUGCCCUCAAUCUCUCAGAGAAUGAAUCGAGUGAGUGGUUCCACGCAAGGCUCUGGAUCAGCAGCCGCCCAUGGUGCGGCAACCUCUGCUCCGGCCACCGGCGAUGCUGCAACUACUGUUCAAGUCGUCGGUGUUCCUGUAUGGUGGACAAUGCAUCUCUUGGGGCCUUCUUUAGGCAUGAUUCAUCUCUUACUGAAGGCCUGAUGGCUUCUGGAUGACUGCUGGACCUACUUGAGAUGAUGCCGUGCAAACCUGAUGGUGGCACCUUAUAUUAUUUUAUAUACUAUAAUAUAUCAUGAACUUUAGUUAUUCUGUUGCCCAACUAUAUGAAAUCUCCUGAUGUAUGAUGUCAUUGUUAUCUUUAUCUAUAAAUUUGUGUGUAUUGAACUAUGUGGUAUCUAUUAUCUUUAUAUCUAAAUUCUGUUCUAAACUA